UUAAGUUCAGCGGGUAUCCCUACCUCAUCCCAGGUCAAACUUAAGAAAGUUGGGGGUUGCUGGCGGACGACCACCGGGACCCAACAGCGAGAAGAAUUACUACGCUGAGAGCACGAUGGCGUCGCCACUAUUUUCGAGGCCCGCCGUUGCCGGCGCGGCCCAAAACCAAGCAGAGCUUGAGGGGUGAAAUGACGCUGGAA
rnacentral:misc_RNA from 1 species